AUACCCGCUGAACUUAAGCAUAUCAAUAAGCGGAGGAAAAGAAACCAACAGGGAUUGCCCUAGUAACGGCGAGUGAAGCGGCAACAGCUCAAAUUUGAAAUCUGGCCUCGGCCCGAGUUGUAAUUUGCAGAGGAUGCUUCUGGCGCGGUGCCUUCCGAGUUCCCUGGAACGGGACGCCACAGAGGGUGAGAGCCCCGUAUGGUCGGACACCAAGCCUGUGUGAAGCUCCUUCGACGAGUCGAGUAGUUUGGGAAUGCUGCUCUAAAUGGGAGGUAAAUCUCUUCUAAAGCUAAAUACCGGCCAGAGACCGAUAGCGCACAAGUAGAGUGAUCGAAAGAUGAAAAGCACCUUGAAAAGGGGGUUAAAUAGUACGUGAAAUUGUUGAAAGGGAAGCACUUGUGACCAGACUUGGGCCGGGCGGCUCAUCAGGGGUUCUCCCCUGUGCACUCCGCCCGGCACAGGCCAGCAUCGGUUCUCGUGGGGGGAUAAGACCGUCAGGAACGUAGCACCCUCCGGGGUGUGUUAUAGCCUGGCGGACGAUACCCCCGUGGGGACCGAGGUUCGCGCUCCGCAAGGAUGCUGGCGUAAUGGUCACCAGUGACCCGUCUUGAAACACGGACCAAGGAGUCGUCCAUUAGAGCGAGCGUUUGGGUGUAAAACCCGCACGCGUAAUGAAAGUGAACGCAGGUGAGAGCUUCGGCGCAUCAUCGACCGAUCCUGAUGUUCUCGGAAGGAUUUGAGUAAGAGUUUUAACGGACGGACCCGAAAGACAGUGAACUAUGCUUGUAUAGGGUGAAGCCAGAGGAAACUCUGGUGGAGGCUCGCAGCGGUUCUGACGUGCAAAUCGAUCGUCAAAUAUGAGCAUGGGGGCGAAAGACUAAUCGAAC
rnacentral:rRNA from 1 species